rnacentral:rRNA from 1 species
UACAGAGGGUGCAAGCGUUGUUCGGAAUUAUUGGGCGUAAAGCGCGUGUAGGCGGCUUGGCAAGUCGGGUGUGAAAGCCCUCGGCUCAACCGAGGAAGUGCGCCCGAAACUGCUAUGGCUUGAGUGCCGGAGAGGGUGGCGGAAUUCCCCAAGUAGAGGUGAAAUUCGUAGAUAUGGGGAGGAACACCGGUGGCGAAGGCGGCCACCUGGACGGCAACUGACGCUGAGACGCGAAAGCGUGGGUAGCAAACAGG